UCGGUUCCACGCGGUCCGCGGCGCGACGCACGCCGCCUGACCGG
rnacentral:misc_RNA from 1 species